rnacentral:rRNA from 1 species
UACGGAGGAUGCGAGCGUUAUCCGGAUUUAUUGGGUUUAAAGGGUGCGUAGGCGGCGAGUUAAGUCAGCGGGUAAAAGCCCGGGGCUCAACCCCGGCCCGCCGUUGAAACUGGCUGGCUUGAGUUGGGGAAAGGCAGGCGGAAUGCGCGGUGUAGCGGUGAAAUGCAUAGAUAUCACGCAGAACCCCGAUUGCGAAGGCAGCAUACCGGCGCCCUACUGACGCUGAGGCACGAAAGUGCGGGGAUCGAACAGG